AAUUCUUGACAUCUGCGCCAGUAGCCUAAACCUCCAUGGCAUGCUCCAUCGGAGUAUUUUGUUUGUUGCACAAAUUUCAAGUGCGACCUUCCAAUUUAUUUUGUUGUAACUAUAAGGUUUGGCACCUCAGAUAAGUUCUCGAAAUACCAAUGUCAUAUUUCAAUUAGAAAAUAAGAUUUAGUUUGAUCAUGCAUGCAAUUGUAAUAACCCUACUUUGAGCUUUUAUGUACUGGUUUAAAUAGUUAAAUCUUCUAGAUUCUUUUGCAUAUUUUCUUGGAAUUAUACUAUGAGAGCAUCUUAGUUUUCACUAAGUGAUAAAAUACAUUUUCUAUUUCCGUAAUACAGGUCAUUAGUGGUCACUUUUGAUGGGUGCGAUCUGUAGCAUUUGAUCCAGGGAACAAAUGGUUUUGUCCUGGUUUUGCUGAUAGGACAAUAACGGCAAGGAAGAAGGUUGCAGAGCAUGGAUGGAUGUGAAAAGGAAGAGGAUGGAUGAGAGAGGAGAGAAGAGGGGUGAAAGAGGAUACAGAUGGAAAGAGGGAGAAGGACAGGGUGGAGGCGCUUCUUGAGGAUUAUUGUCGACUGAUUUCAUACUCUCUUAUAAAUUCAUGGUUAGCUAGGUAAACCUUUUGUA